UGAACGCUGGCGGCGUGCUUACCACAUGCAAGUCGACCGGCAAGGCUCCUGCUUGCAGGGGUACUCGAGUGGCGAACGGGUGAGUAACACGUGGGUGAUCUGCCCUGCACUUCGGGAUAAGCCUGGGAAACUGGGUCUAAUACCGGAUAGGACGAUGGUUUGGAUGCCAUUGUGGAAAGUUUUUCGGUGUGGGAUGAGCUCGCGGCCUAUCAGCUUGUUGGUGGGGUAAUGGCCUACCAAGGCGUCGACGGGUAGCCGGCCUGAGAGGGUGUACGGCCACAUUGGGACUGAGAUACGGCCCAGACUCCUACGGGAGGCAGCAGUGGGGAAUAUUGCACAAUGGGCGCAAGCCUGAUGCAGCGACGCCGCGUGGGGGAUGACGGCCUUCGGGUUGUAAACUCCUUUCGCUAGGGACGAAGCGUUUUGUGACGGUACCUGGAGAAGAAGCACCGGCUAACUACGUG
rnacentral:rRNA from 1 species